rnacentral:rRNA from 1 species
CGAACGGGUGAGUAACACGUGGGUGAUCUGCCCUGCACUUCGGGAUAAGCCUGGGAAACUGGGUCUAAUACCGGAUAUGACUACGGAUCGCAUGGGUCUGUGGUGGAAAGCUUUUGCGGUGUGGGAUGGGCCCGCGGCCUAUCAGCUUGUUGGUGGGUUAAGGCCUACCAAGGCGACGACGGGUAGCCGGCCUGAGAGGGUGACCGGCCACACUGGGACUGAGAUACGGCCCAG